rnacentral:rRNA from 1 species
AACGAACGCUGGCGGCAGGCUUAACACAUGCAAGUCGAACGCCCCGCAAGGGGAGUGGCAGACGGGUGAGUAACGCGUGGGAAUCUACCCAUCCCUACGGAACAACUCCGGGAAACUGGAGCUAAUACCGUAUACGCCCUUUGGGGGAAAGAUUUAUCGGGGAUGGAUGAGCCCGCGUUGGAUUAGCUAGUUGGUGGGGUAAAGGCCUACCAAGGCGACGAUCCAUAGCUGGUCUGAGAGAAUGAUCAGCCACAUUGGGACUGAGACACGGCCCAAACUCCUACGGGAGGCAGCAGUGGGGAAUAUUGGACAAUGGGCGCAAGCCUGAUCCAGCCAUGCCGCGUGAGUGAUGAAGGCCCUAGGGUUGUAAAGCUCUUUCAACGGUGAAGAUAAUGACGGUAACCGUAGAAGAAGCCCCGGCUAACUUCGUGCCAGCAGCCGCGGUAAGAC